AUGAACGCUGGCGGCGUGCCUAAUACAUGCAAGUCGAGCGAACAGACGAGGAGCUUGCUCCUCUGACGUUAGCGGCGGCCGGGUGAGUAACACGUGGAUAACCUACCUAUAAGACUGGGAUAACUUCGGGAAACCGGAGCUAAUACCGGAUAAUAUAUUGAACCGCAUGGUUCAAUAGUGAAAGACGGUUUUGCUGUCACUUAUAGAUGUAUCCGCGCCGCAUUAGCUAGUUGGUAAGGUAACGGCUUACCAAGGCAACGAUGCGUAGCCGACCUGAGAGGGUGAUCGGCCACACUGGAACUGAGACACGGUCCAGACUCCUACGGGAGGCAGCAGUAGGGAAUCUUCCGCAAAGGGCGAAAGCUUGACGGAGCAACGCCGCGUGAGUGAUGAAGGUCUUCGGAUCGUAAAACUCUGUUAUUAGGGAAGAACAAAUGUGUAAGUAACUAUGCACGUCUUGACGGUACCUAAUCAGAAAGCCACGGCUAACUACGUG
rnacentral:rRNA from 1 species